GAUUGUCGCCUGGUGGCGAUUCCUCCCUAAACUCGGGGCUGCGUCGAGGUCUCGGCGCGGCCUCUUCUUCACACCGC
rnacentral:sRNA from 1 species